rnacentral:rRNA from 1 species
UUGUUUGAACCGCAUGGUUCAGACAUAAAAGGUGGCUUCGGCUACCACUUACAGAUGGACCCGCGGCGCAUUAGCUAGUUGGUGAGGUAACGGCUCACCAAGGCGACGAUGCGUAGCCGACCUGAGAGGGUGAUCGGCCACACUGGGACUGAGACACGGCCCAGACUCCUACGGGAGGCAGCAGUAGGGAAUCUUCCGCAAUGGACGAAAGUCUGACGGAGCAACGCCGCGUGAGUGAUGAAGGUUUUCGGAUCGUAAAGCUCUGUUGUUAGGGAAGAACAAGUGCCGUUCAAAUAGGGCGGCACCUUGACGGUACCUAACCAGAAAGCCACGGCUAACUACGUGCCAGCAGCCGCGGUAAUACGUAGGUGGCAAGCGUUGUCCGGAAUUAUUGGGCGUAAAGGGCUCGCAGGCGGUUUCUUAAGUCUGAUGUGAAAGCCCCCGGCUCAACCGGGGAGGGUCAUUGGAAACUGGGGAACUUGAGUGCAGAAGAGGAGAGUGGAAUUCCACGUGUAGCGGUGAAAUGCGUAGAGAUGUGGAGGAACACCAGUGGCGAAGCGACUCUCUGGUCUGUAACUGACGCU